rnacentral:rRNA from 1 species
ACUCAAAUGAAUUGACGGGGGCCCGCACAAGCGGUGGAGCAUGUGGUUUAAUUCGACGCAACGCGAAGAACCUUACCUGGGCUUGACAUGCUGGAGAAAGCUCCCAGAAACGGGAGCCCCUCUUCGGAGUUCCAGCACAGAUGCUGCAUGGCUGUCGUCAGCUCGUGUCGUGAGAUGUUGGGUUAAGUCCCGCAACGAGCGCAACCCUCAUCCCUAGUUACCAGCGGGUAAAGCCGGGAACUCUAGGGGGACUGCCGGUGCCAAACCGGACGAAGGUGGGGACGACGUCAAGUCAUCAUGGCUCUUACGUCCAGGGCUACACACGUGCUACAAUGGGCCAGACAAAGGGCUGCCAACCCGCGAGGGGGAGCCAAUCCCAUAAACUGGUCCUCAGUUCGGAUUGCAGUCUGCAACUCGACUGCAUGAAGCUGGAAUCGCUAGUAAUCGUGGAUCAGCUACGCCACGGUGAAUACGUUCCCGGGCCUUGUACACACCGCCCGU